UUUGUCAUUUGACAUGAAAUGCUUACCUUACUUGAUUGGCCAGAGGCUGUGACUGAAAUUUAACUCUACUCUGCAAGGUGCUGUACAGAUGGAGACAAUAUGAUGUCCUCUGCAUCUAAGGACUUGCAUUUGACAGAUGAAGGGCAGGAUGAAGAAGCACCAGAGAGGCAAUCAAUCACCUCCUUGCUCAGUUACAGCUGCCUUCGGACCAGGGCUGACAUCUGGAAGCACCCACACCACUUAAGCCUGUUCUCUCCCGGGGCCCUGCCUUUGCAUGAGGUUUUGAUUUACUGUUUACUAUUUCAGGCUUGUAACAAGUAGGCAUCCCAAAGCCUUUUAGACACACUUACUGUCUGAGUCAGAUAGUCCAAGAGGUCAUGUACAGAUUGAGACUGAGCAGUGAAACAUCUGCAUACGCUUAACCUUGCUUCACUUCUGGCAUUGCUCUUGAGUGUUAUUUGGGCUUUGAUCAGACCUAUUUAUUCAGCCCAGGAUCUUUUCUCUUCCUUAAUAUCCUUUCACAUGCCUGCUUCUCCAGACUCUGGAGUCUCCUCGUGUUUCUGAAGUCAGGUUUUGCUUCUGCCUUUUCACUUUUAAUCCAAAAUGGCCAGUGGGAACAGCAUGUUUUUGUAACUGUAGGUCCUCUUUGUCAAGGGGUUAGUUAACAAGACAAUAUAUGUACCCUCAGGAGCUGAUCUGUUUGUCAGACUCGAAAAACUGGUUCAUCUCAACAAUAGCCAUUUCUUUGUGCAAGGGACUCUGCCUGAAUGACAUGGGUAAUUAUCUGUUUAGAGUGCAAAUAACCUGCAUUUUCAUAACACAGUUUGCAGCACUGCAAAACCAACCCAUGGUACACAGAUUCCCAAAACGUGUAACCUGGCUUUUAUUGCCCGAUUAGCUGUUUACCAACAUAUUUGUCUCAUGAGCUGUGGACCUUUCUGUCCUGGGUGUGCUGAAAAACAGCACAUGCUUCAGGCUCCUGAGAAGUUUCUAAAUUGAGCAUUAGAUAUUUUUAUCAAAGACUAGAGUCAAACUUAAAUCUUUCGCUAGUAGACGGAAGCCUCUUAGGAAUGAAAUUUACAAUGCCAAGAUUUCUAUAUAUGCAUAUAUCCCUUACGAUACUGUCCUAACUAGAAGCUGCUAUAAUUCAUUUUAUUUUGUGGAGCUUUCUGGUGAAUUAUUUUCUUUCUCAGUAAUUUCUCCGUUUAGGAACCCUCCUGAGAAAUCUUUGCUGUAUUAGCUUGAGCUUUGCGGCAUCUUUAUCUUUAAAUAGCUCUUUUAAAUUUGCUUAGGCAAAUCUGGGGUUUCGUCUGUCUUCAGCAGUAUUAAAAUAGUAUCUGAAGGGAGUGUUACCUGGGUACGAAGACACACCACUAGAUGAUACUAUAAAUGAGAGACAGAUGGAUUGCUGCUCAGAGACAACAAGAUUAUGGGUAGAAACCUGUUUACCUUUUGCAAUACAGCCGCUGAGCUGAACAAGUCAUCAGAACAGAACGGAGCUGAAUAAUGCAUGGCUCUAACAGUGUCUAAUUCUUCGAGCUGGAGGGGAGUUUCUUACACCAAAAUUCCUCUUGCAGAAUUAUCUAGCCAGGCUUGAGUGCUGGGAAGCACUUUUGAUGUGAGCUUUUGCUUUGUUUGCAAGUGCAGACGUGCUGUUGGCUAGCUAAUGGUCUUUUGGCAAAGACUGCCCUUUUCCUGGAGUUGUCAGGGCUCUACCUGGAGCAGAUUGUCUCUCCCUUCAGAAUGAUUUCUUUCCACAGUCUUUGUGUGCCAGCAGGACCCAUGGAUCACAAAGAGGAAGCUAGCUUGCAGGAAAUUUGGUACCAAGGCUGGACACAGCUCCUCAGUUGCACUGGGCCACCACAGACAAAAUCCAGUGCGAGCAGCCCCUGACAGGAUUGCUGUGGUGCUGGCUUUUGAGCUCUAGGGCAUUCUGGACUGAAUGUUCAUGCAUGACUUUUAAUUCCUACAGGUGAGGAAAAGACUGCAGUCAUACAGGCUGUUUUUGGGGAUGGGAUUUAGCCAGUCGUGCUCUGAGUGAUGAUCUUUGUGUCCUGUGUUUUUGCCAUUUGAGCUGGAGAGGAAGAGGCAAAUAAACUGUAUGUCAGGUGCAGGAUUUUCUGUACUUGCCUUUUGGAGAUCAGGGCUAAAAUCAGAGCUUCAAACCUUGGCAUGACUAACCUGCAGAUACCUGUGUUACUGCUGAAUGAAGGAUCAGGACAGAUUCCACCCUCACUGUCUGUGUCCAUCUUUUCACAGGAGCUGCCAAAUCAAUGGCUCCCAGCAGGUGGGUCCUUGUGAGGAGAAGGAGCACCUGGGCAUGAAAAAUCUCUACCAGAUUUCCAUUUGUUCUUCUAUAUAACUGAGGGAGGCAUACCUGGGAAGUCUGUGACUUAAUGAUCAAACAGGGUGGUGUUUUACACCUCUUCAAAUAUGGGACUCAGUUACAGAUGGAUUAAGGAUGUGGGUCCUGGACCACAAGGGUGUCACCUCCAGGGACAUCUAUUAAGAAAAGAAUGCUGUGAGGAAAUACAUCUGUGUGGAAGUGCAUCUCAGAUGUCAAGGUGAUGGUGCUGGAGGUGAGCCUGCAUGUCACUCCUGACACUGUCCCCAAGUCACACCCACAUUUUAUUUGGAGUGAACAAGUUAUUUAGGCGUGUGGGCACCCUAAGGAAUUCUUACCUGUGCACAAAUUGAGCCACAACUCAGAAGGAGUGGGAAACUGAGCAAGUGUUCCUGGUGGUCUUGGAGUGGAGGAGGAGUUCAGAAAGUGGCUAUUGGCAUUUAUAUUCUCCCUCCUCCUUCAUCAGGCCAAACAAUUCAGACAAUAAUUUCACCAGUUGUAGUAGAGCAAAUUCUUUUUAGUGUUCAGUGCAUUGAUACAUCUUGGGACUGAAAUCCUUCCCAGCAAACAAAAUCCCCCGAUGCUGUGAUGGCUGAAGUGGAAUGCCAGCACACUCCUGGUGUCUUCAGAACAGCUAUAAAUCCAAAGUCUGUGUGUUAUCUGCCAUAGGUGUGGGGCCCUGACCCCAACAUUCCAUAGCUGGGAGCAUUUGGUAAGGAAAAGUGGGAUCUAGGAAGUUGUGUGAGACAUUGGCGUCCUGAUAUGAUGGCGAAGUAAACUGAUUUUAGCUCUUCCACGCAAGGAGAAAAGCAGCAGCUGGGGGUAAUGGGAUGGACUAAUAAAAUUAUUCUCCUUUUAAUGAGGUAUUCACCAAAGCACUGUGGGGUAGAGUGGACCUGGAGUCCCAGCUAGGGCUGUGGCUCCACUAUUAAGGCCUAACCAUAGCUGUGCAUCCACUGUGGGAUCAUCCAGGGGCAGGUUUUUUGGAGAGCGCGUCUCCAGCUGACAUCACUGAGGUCUUUCCCUCAAAGUGGCAGCUAUCAAAGUGCCGUUUACGAGCAAGACUCACAAACUAAUUAGUCACCAGGCCCAUUAAUCAGGAAGACUAGAAAUAAUUCAGCAGAAUUCAUGCUGUCAGCAAGGAUGAGAAGAGCCCUCUCUAUGACAGCUUACCUUGCAUUUUGAUCAUUAGGCGAUUCGGAGUUUAGUCCAUCCGUCUUGUUUAUCUGCCCUCAGGGGAAAAUAAUCCCUGCAUCCCAGCCAUCUCGACAAGUUUGAAAUUCAAACAUAUUUUCAGUUCUGUCAGUAAAAUAUCAAAUGGGCACAUUUGGAUGAGUAUUGACACACAACGGCGCCGGUGCCUUUUUCUUUUUUUUUUUUUUCCCAAACGUAUUGUCAAGAAAUCCCUCCUUUGCCUUGCUGCUCCCUGCAUGCAGGAGCUCAACACCAUAUUAGGGAAAGUAAAGGUUAGGGUGCAUGAAUGGGAUCAUUAAAAAGCAGCUAAACUGAAGCAUUCUAAUUAUUCUUAGCAGCCCUCCCAAGACAAGCCAGAGGCAUUCUCCAGUCUAACUCCACCUUCCUGUGUCUUGGGUGAGAUUUAUAUAUGUGUGCUUGAGCAAGAGAUGUACCUUAAAAUAAUCAAGCCAGUGUUUAUUUUGGCUUCCUUUGCCUCUUUCCCCCCACACCAGAAAUCCACCCAGAGCAGUAAAAUAUUUCUUUAACAGAUGCAUACCACGCUGUUGGUGCGGAGUGGAUUGGUCACUCUGGAAAGCACACACUAACAAGGCAGGAACAGAUGGCUUCGAGUCGUGGUAUGGAGCUGUUGUGGCUACUGUUUUUUCAUUAAGCAUUAAUUGCUGGAGGUGGAAAUCAUGCUUCUGUGUGUGCCAAGGAGACGGGUCUGGCUGUGCAGCUCAGAUGCACUGAGUGGAGCAGAGAAGUGAGAAGUCUGUCUGGAAACCUGGGAUGCCACGAAUUUCUGCCCUGCACCUGUCUGUCAUCUCCACUUUACGAGUCACUGUCUGGGGUGCAGAGGAAUUUCCACGCAGGCCAAGGGAGGCUCACUGGGAACGGAAGAAAUCUUGGGGUAUAAAACGUGUUGUCUUUCUAGAGAAGGUCCUCCUGAGAAGAACUGUUUGGCCUGCUUGAGAUGAAACAAACGUGCAGUUGAAACUGAGGCAAGAAUGUAAUUGGAAUGUGGACCAGGCCAGUAGUGUAUUCAGUUUUGGUUUCAUAUAUAUAUACAUCUAUGUUUUGUAAAUAUUUUGUGUUUUGUUCUUUUGGUAUUACAAGGCAAAGCACUAAAUCCUGAUGUUAUGGUCCCAAAGUUUCUAUUGUCCUGUGAAAUUUUGCUGCAAAAAAUACUGGUUUUAAUGCCUUUUUUUACUUCCAUAGUAUGUGUUCUUUUUCCAUAGUACUACAUGCCCCCCAGGUUCUCUCUGGAUUUAUCAAAAUCUGCUGUACCAAAA